UACAGAGACUGCAAGCGUUAUUCGGAUUCAUUGGGCGUAAAGGGUGCGUAGGCGGCGCGGUAAGUCGGGUGUGAAAUCUUGGAGCUUAACUCCGAAACUGCAUUCGAUACUGCCGUGCUUGAGGACUGGAGAGGAGACUGGAAUUUACGGUGUAGCGGUGAAAUGCGUAGAUAUCGUAAGGAAGACCAGUGGCGAAGGCGGAUCUCUGGACAGUUACUGACACUGAGGCACGAAGGCCAGGGGAGCAAACGGG
rnacentral:rRNA from 1 species